GCCCCUAGGUGAGAGUGGUUGCAAAGUACCAUCGGGAUUGCCGUAACGCGAGGUAGCCAUGUUGGACAUCGAAUAUACUUGUAUGGGUAGACGUCAAAGAGCAUGAUAAGGGAUUUCUUUAUCGUAAACGAGUGGUUAAAGCGUGAUUGGAAGUCUUUUGAAUUAUAAUUUCAUUUGCGAUCUAGACUAAUAUUUUGAGUUUGAACUACAUCUAUCUGAAUAUAGAAUCUACUCUAAAACCAAUAGUACGGAUCAAAAUAACCUUGAAGGGUAAACAAAAGAAACUGAAAAAUUCUAAAGCUGUAUCCACACCGGAUUGCUAUUGGAGUUUCAGUUAAUACCCUCCUAAUUGGUUCCAACAGACUUCACUUAGUCCCAGUACUCCCAGUAUACCAGCUUGCCUUGUUGAGCUAGCGUUAUAACAUUUCCUUCGUGGACCCUCCCUACACUACGCUCUUGAGCCAAGCAGAAUAGGGACAAAUUUAAUUUUCUACAAGAAAUUUAACACUACCUUUUCGUAAAAUAGAUAUUAAGUAAAUUACUGUUAACAACUGUGUGCAAACACUAAACAGUGAGGCGGCCAUGACCCAGUUGUGAGAUGCAAUGCCAAUAACGAAGGCUGUUUCUUACUCGAGUGCGUUUCAGGCCAUUUUACGUUAUAAUAUUAAAGAUUAUCCCAUGUAAGCAGCCGUCUAUGAUGUAAUAAAUUUUACAGAAGUAACUACGGACAUUGUAUCAAAAUUCGAGUUGUAAAAACAUGCCAAACUUCAAUUAGAACAUUAAAAUGUCGUUGAAAUGAUUAUUGCUGUGUCAUGCUUUGUAUCGUGAUUCGAAGUCCAACCA